ACAUUGUGUGGGCCUCCAUGCAUGAGUAGCAGCAGACCCACAAUAAACUGCCUUGUGGAAGCAUCCUUAUGCUGUUAAUUUUGUACACCACAGGUGUGUGUGUGCAAAUUUCUUUUUCAUUAAAGAGAAAGCUUACCAGGGCAGGAGCUCCUUCUGUGCACUGGAAAGUACAUGGGGCAUUUGGUUUAAAUGUAUGCAGCUCUCUUUUCAAAUGUCUCUCCACAACAUAUUAAUUGUAUUGCAUGGCCAUUUAUUCAGCUCUUAUGCAAACCUGAUUUCAGCUACAAAGAAAAUUAGGAGCUAAUUGGCUUUCCACCUCCAUCUGGCUCUGUACUGCUGCACUGAGGUACCCAUUGCAAUGGAAAUGCCCAGUGUUGCAACAUGUCAAGGCCAUUUGGAAUUCUCUGUUGAACAGUACAGGACCUGCAAGGUAGGCUAAGAAUGAAUGACCAGCCCAAGAAGACCUUCGGAGCUUUACUGUGCCAUGUACACCACUCUAUCUUGAGUUACAAGCCAGUGUGGACUUACAGAAGAGAUGGGUGCCUAUGACCCUCAAAAUCCUGCUGGAUUGUGACUCCCAUCAUUCCUGAUCAUUUAUCAUUUGGCUGGGGCUGAUGGGAACUGGAGUCCAACAACAUCUGGAAGGCCACAGGUUUCCCAUUCCUGACUUACAUGCUUGUCUUUUAAUUAAAAAGAAAUUUGUAUCACUGA